rnacentral:rRNA from 1 species
UACACAUGCAGUCGAGCGGAACGAUGAUAGCUUGCUAUCAGGCGUCGAGCGGCGGACGGGUGAGUAAUACUUAGGAAUCUGCCUAGUAGUGGGGGAUAGCACGGGGAAACUCGUAUUAAUACCGCAUACGACCUACGGGAGAAAGGGGGCAACUUGUUGCUCUCGCUAUUAGAUGAGCCUAAGUCGGAUUAGCUAGAUGGUGGGGUAAAGGCCUACCAUGGCGACGAUCUGUAGCUGGUCUGAGAGGAUGAUCAGCCACACCGGAACUGAGACACGGUCCGGACUCCUACGGGAGGCAGCAGUGGGGAAUAUUGGACAAUGGGGGCAACCCUGAUCCAGCCAUGCCGCGUGUGUGAAGAAGGCCUUUUGGUUGUAAAGCACUUUAAGCAGUGAAGAAGACCAUAUGGUUAAUACCCAUAUGCGAUGACAUUAGCUGCAGAAUAAGCACCGGCUAACUCUGUGCCAGCNGCCGCGGUAAUACAGAGGGUGCAAGCGUUAAUCGGAAUUACUGGCGUAAAGCGAGCGUAGGUGGCUUGAUAAGUCAGAUGUGAAUCCCGGCUACCUGGGACUGC